UUGGAGGGCAAGUCUGGUGCCAGCAGCCGCGGUAAUUCCAGCUCCAAUAGCGUAUAUUAAAGUUGUUGCAGUUAAAAAGCUCGUAGUUGAAUUUCGGGAGCCGCGGGUCGGUUGGGCUUAACUGUCCAUCACUGGCUCCGCGGGUCUCUUACCUUCUGGCGAGGUCAGAUGUCAUUUAUUUGGUGUCUGGCGGAACCAGGACCAUUACCUUGAAAAAAUUAGAGUGUUUAAAGCAGGCUUUAUCGUCUGAAUACAUUAGCAUGGAAUAAUAAAAUAGGACGGCUAAGGGUUCUAUUUUGUUGAUUUCUAGGACCACCGUAAUGAUUAAUAGGGAUAGUUGGGGGCAUUAGUAUUCAAUUGUCAGAGGUGAAAUUCUUGGAUUUAUUGAAGACUAACUACUGCGAGAGCAUUUGCCAAGGAUGUUUUCAUUAAUCAAGAACGAAAGUUAGGGGAUCGAAGACGAUCAGAUACCGUCGUAGUCUUAACCAUAAACUAUGCCGACUAGG
rnacentral:rRNA from 1 species